UACGUAGGGGGCAAGCGUUAUCCGGAACUACUGGGUGUAAAGGGAGCGUAGACGGUAAUGUAAGUCUGGAGUGAAAGGCGGGGGCCCAACCCCCGGACUGCUCUGGAAACUGCCAGGCUGGAGUGCAGGAGAGGUAAGUGGAAUUCCUAGUGUAGCGGUGAAAUGCGUAGAUAUUAGGAGGAACACCAGUGGCGAAGGCGGCUUACUGGACUGUAACUGACGUUGAGGCUCGAAAGCGUGGGGAGCAAACAGG
rnacentral:rRNA from 1 species